rnacentral:rRNA from 1 species
UACGUAGGGUGCUAGCGUUAUCCGGAUUUACUGGGCGUAAAGGGUACGUAGGCGGUUAGAAAAGUUAGAAGUGAAAGGCUAUAGCUCAACUAUAGUAAGCUUUUAAAACUGUUUAACUUGAGAGAUGGAAGGGAAAGUGGAAUUCCAUGUGUAGCGGUGAAAUGCGUAGAUAUAUGGAGGAACACCAGUGGCGAAGGCGACUUACUGGUCUGUGAUUGACGCUGAGGCUCGAAAGCGUGGGUAGCGAACAGG